rnacentral:rRNA from 1 species
AGGUGGGAGGCUUUGAAACCAGGACGCCAGUUUUGGCGGAGCCAUCCUUGGGAUACCACCCUUGUAGUACUGGGACUCUAACCAUAGGCCAUGAAUCUGGUCUUGGGACACUGUCAGGUGGGCAGUUUGACUGGGGCGGUCGCCUCCCAAAAGGUAACGGAGGCGCUCAAAGGUUCUCUCAGUACGGUCGGAAAUCGUACGUAGAGUGUAAAGGCAAAAGAGAGCUUGAUUGCAAGACAUACAGGUCGAGCAAGGAUGAAAAUCGGACUUAGUGAUCCGGUGGUUCUGCGUGGAAGGGCCAUCGCUCAACGGAUAAAAGCUACCCUGGGGAUAACAGGCUUAUCUCCCCCAAGAGUCCACAUCGACGGGGAGGUUUGGCACCUCGAUGUCGGCUCAUCACAUCCUGGGGCUGUAGUAGGUCCCAAGGGUUGGGCUGUUCGCCCAUUAAAGUGGUACGCGAGCUGGGUUCAGAACGUCGUGAGACAGUUCGGUCCCUAUCCGUCGCAGGCGUAGGAAAUUUGAGAAGACCUGUCCUUAGUACGAGAGGACCGGGAUGGACGUACCUCUGGUGUACCAGUUGUUCUGCCAAGGGCAUGGCUGGGUAGCUAUGUAC